GACGAACGCUGGCGGCGUGCUUAACACAUGCAAGUCGAACGGUGAAGGGAAGCUUGCUUCCCGGAUCAGUGGCGAACGGGUGAGUAACACGUGGGCAAUCUGCCCCAGACUUUGGGAUAACUACUCGAAGAGUAGCUAAUACCGAAUAUUCAGCCUUGCAGGCAUCUGCGAGGCUGGAAAGUUUCUCGGUCUGGGAUGAGCCCGCGGCCUAUCAGCUAGUUGGUGAGGUAAUGGCUCACCAAGGCGACGACGGGUAGCCGGCCUGAGAGGGCGACCGGCCACACUGGGACUGAGACACGGCCCAGACUCCUACGGGAGGCAGCAGUGGGGAAUAUUGCGCAAUGGGCGAAAGCCUGACGCAGCAACGCCGCGUGCGGGAUGAAGGCCUUCGG
rnacentral:rRNA from 1 species